AUCUAUCACUGCUUUUUAGGAUAAGCUUGACUUUUGUUCAAAUAAAAAUGCAAAAGGAAAGUGUAUCCUAAAAGGCAAUGACAGUU
rfam:Homo sapiens chromosome X, GRCh38 reference primary assembly.